CAAUAGCGUAUAUUAAAGUUGUUGCGGUUAAAAAGCUCGUAGUUGGAUUUCUGUUGAGGGUGGUCGGUCCGCAUUAUGUGCGUGUAUCUGGUUCAGCCUUGGCAUCCUCCAGGGGAACGUUCCUGCGCUUCAUUGCGUGGGGCGGUAUUCUGGACUUUUACUUUGAAAAAUUAGAGUGUUCAAAGCAGGCCUUCGCUUGAAUACAUUAGCAUGGAAUAAUAGAAUAGGACUUUGGUUCUAUUUUGUUGGUUUCUAGGACCGAAGUAAUGAUUAAUAGGGACAGUUGGGGGCGAUUAGUAUUUAAUUGUCAGAGGUGAAAUUCUUGGAUUUAUGAAAGACUAACUACUGCGAAAGCAUUUGCCAAGGAUGUUUUCAUUAAUCAAGAACGAAAGUUAGGGGAUCGAAGACGAUCAGAUACCGU
rnacentral:rRNA from 1 species